AUUGAACGCUGGCGGCAGGCUUAACACAUGCAAGUCGAGCGGGGAGAUGUAGCUUGCUACAUAUCCUAGCGGCGGACGGGUGAGUAAUGCUUAGGAAUCUGCCUAUUAGUGGGGGACAACAUUCCGAAAGGAAUGCUAAUACCGCAUACGCCCUACGGGGGAAAGCAGGGGAUCUUCGGACCUUGCGCUAAUAGAUGAGCCUAAGUCGGAUUAGCUAGUUGGUGGGGUAAAGGCCUACCAAGGCGACGAUCUGUAGCGGGUCUGAGAGGAUGAUCCGCCACACUGGGACUGAGACACGGCCCAGACUCCUACGGGAGGCAGCAGUGGGGAAUAUUGGACAAUGGGCGCAAGCCUGAUCCAGCCAAGCCGCGUGUGUGAAGAAGGCCUUUUGGUUGUAAAGCACUUUAAGCGAGGAGGAGGCUCCUUUAGUUAAUACCUAAAGAGAGUGGACGUUACUCGCAGAAUAAGCACCGGCUAACUCUGUG
rnacentral:rRNA from 1 species